rnacentral:rRNA from 1 species
UACGUAGGUGGCAAGCGUUGUUCGGAAUUAUUGGGCGUAAAGGGCGCGUAGGCGGUUUGUUAAGUCGGCUGUGAAAGCCCGGGGCUCAACCCCGGAGGGUCAGCCGAUACUGGCAGACUAGAGUAUGGGAGAGGGAAGUGGAAUUUCCGGUGUAGCGGUGAAAUGCGUAGAUAUCUGGAGGAACACCGGUGGCGAAGGCGGCAUCCUGGACCAAUACUGACACUGAGGAGCGAAAGCCAGGGGAGCAAACGGG